GAUGAAGUUACAAACAUACUAAAAAACCUGAUAAUUGUUUUGUGAAAUGUAAAUUUGCUGCACCUGCUGUUGUUCGGUAAUGUGCAAAACAGCCACUAUUAACAUUACAUACUGUCAUUUGUCCUAAUUAAUUAAAUGAAACCAUCAGGAGAGGGACUCUAGUGCCCUGAUGAGGAGGCAAAUAUGAAGAUCAAAGCAGGAAGGCAACUCUUUGAAGAAUAGAGUUCUUUUAAAGCAUCCGGAUCAGAGUCGUCCUUGUGGAUAAAGCAUCGAACACUUUAUCGUGUACAGAUAUGCACUGUCUGCAACACCAGGCCAUGUAUGAAGCACUGUUGCCUCUGCAGAAUUUGAUGAUAGAGCUUGCCAGUUUGGUGCAGGAUGCUGAUCCUCUGUUGAGGACCUGAGAAUAAACGGUUUAGAUGAUGGAUCGACUCCACAAGGCAGACUCUCAUCCACUGACAGGGAAAUGUCUGUGCAUAAUGGAUCACCUCUUUAAAAAGGCUGUCUGUUGUCAAUGAGCAAGGUCAUGAAACACGGGUGUAAUCCAGUUCCAAGGCAAACAUUGAAAUCCGGAGAAACUGAACUACAUCAGUCCAUGAAUGUGGCCACUCAGUUAUUAUGACAGUCCUUGGAUAGUGAAUAGAGAGAAAGUACUGCAUGUACUGCUGUGCGUACUAUGCACCUGGUCCAUUUUCUCAAGAGCCACCACAGGCAGAGACAGUGCAGCAGCAAGCCAAAUCUCACCUCAAAGCUCAUAACACAUGUCUGUUGUACUCUCAACAGUUUUUCUAUGCAUGUUUAUUCAUUCCUUCUUAUCUAUAAAGUGUCUUUAUCAAGCCCUCGGGCUGUGUCUUUUCAUUCGAAAUGAAAUGCAGCCUCCAAGAGCUGCAGGAUCUCAAGCCAGACAAAUUACAGUUAUUUAAAUUUUUUCUUUUCUGUUCUGUCUUUCAUUUUCUCGUC